rnacentral:tRNA from 1 species
GGGGACGUAGCUCAGCUGGGAGAGCGCUGCCCUCGCACGGCAGAGGUCGUGAGUUCGAAUCUCAUCGUCUCCA